UACGGAGGGUGCGAGCGUUAAUCGGAAUUACUGGGCGUAAAGCGCACGCAGGCGGCUUGCUAAGUCAGAUGUGAAAUCCCCAGGCUCAACCUGGGAAUGGCAUUUGAAACUAGCAGGCUAGAGUCUCGUAGAGGAGGGUAGAAUUCCAGGUGUAGCGGUGAAAUGCGUAGAGAUCUGGAGGAAUACCAGUGGCGAAGGCGGCCCUCUGGACGAAGACUGACGCUCAGGUGCGAAAGCGUGGGGAGCAAACAGG
rnacentral:rRNA from 1 species